rnacentral:rRNA from 1 species
UCGGGAAUUUUGGGCAAUGGGCGAAAGCCUGACCCAGCAGCGCCGCGUGAAGGAUGAAGUAUUUCGGUAUGUAAACUUCGAAAGAAUAGGAAGAAUAAAUGACGGUACUAUUUAUAAGGUCCGGCUAACUACGUGCCAGCAGCCGCGGUAAUACGUAGGGACCAAGCGUUGUUCGGAUUUACUGGGCGUAAAGGGCGCGUAGGCGGCAUGACAAGUCACUUGUGAAAUCUCUGGGCUUAACCCAGAACGGCCAAGUGAUACUGUCGCGCUAGAGUGCAGAAGGGGCAAUCGGAAUUCUUGGUGUAGCGGUGAAAUGCGUAGAUAUCAAGAGGAACACCUGAGGUGAAGACGGGUUGCUGGGCUGACACUGACGCUGAGGCGCGAAAGCCAGGGGAGCAAACGGGAUUAGAUACCCCCGUAGUCCCUGAGCGGGCUGGCAAGGCGCAU